rnacentral:rRNA from 1 species
UACGUAGGGGUGCGAGCGUUAACUCGGAAUUACCGGGCGUAAAGCGUGCGCAGGCGGUUUGCUAAGACAGGUGUGAAAUCCCCGGGCUUAACCUGGGAACUGCGCUUGUGACUGGCAGGCUAGAGUACGGCAGAGGGGGGUGGAAUUCCUGGUGUAGCAGUGAAAUGCGUAGAUAUCAGGAGGAACACCGAUGGCGAAGGCAGCCCCCUGGGACUGUACUGACGCUCAUGCACGAAAGCGUGGGGAGCAAACAGGAUUAGAUACCCU